rnacentral:rRNA from 1 species
CACCGCGUGUGGGAUGACGGAUCUAGGGUUGUAAACCACUUUCAGGAGGGAAGAAAAUGACGGUACCUCCACAAGAAGCCCCGGCCAACUACGUGCCAGCAGCCGCGGUAAUACGUAGGGGGCGAGCGUUGUCCGGAUUUAUUGGGCGUAAAGAGCUCGUAGGCGGUUCAACAAGUCGGUCGUGAAAGUUCAGGGCUCAACCCUGAAAUGUCGAUCGAUACUGUUGUGACUAGGAUACGGUAGAGGUGAGUGGAAUUCCGAGUGUAGCGGUGAAAUGCGUAGAUAUUCGGAGGAACACCAAUUGCGAAGGCAGCUCACUGGGCCGCUAUCGACGCUGAGGAGCGAAAGCUAGGGGAGCAAACAGGAUUAGAUACCCUGGUAGUCCUAGCUGUAAACGAUGGAUACUAGACGUAGGAACUGGAUUGACGGUUUCUGUGUCGUAGCUAACGCGUUAAGUAUCCCGCCUGGGGAGUACGGUCGCAAGACUA